AGUCGUCUCUUAAUUAGAGGAAAGUACAAAAGGUUUGAUGAUGGGGAGUCUUUAUUAAAAGUAUGUGAGUGAAAUUUACCUGUAAGUGAAAAGGCUUACUUAAAGUUGUUAGACGAGAAGACCCUGUUGAGCUUGGUAUUAUUGGCUAUUUCUAAGUCGGUAUAUGUUUUGUCGGGGCAGAUGGGAAGAGAGAUAAUGUCUUCUUACUAUAAUACAGAUCCAGCAUGGCUGAAAAAAAGAAAAAGCUACCGCAGGGAUAACAGCGCGAUCCUUUUGUGGAGUUCGUAUUCGAGAAGGGGGUUUGCGACCUCGAUGUUGAAUUAGGGUUACUACUAGGUGCAGGAGCUUAGAGAAGUGG
rnacentral:rRNA from 1 species